GACCCCACUGUUCAACUCACCUGGCAGCCACUCCCAGAGCCCCUGGAACUCUGGCCCAAGGCUCUCUGACUGACUCCUUCCCAGAUUUACUCGGCUUAGCGGCUGAAGACCGAUGCUGCCCGAUUGCCUCGGAAGCCCCCUAGACCAUCACGGACGCCAAGCUUUGGGUAACUCUCACAGUGGAGGGGGGGAAACACUGUGGACUGGCAUGCUGCUGGCCACCACUUCCCAGCUGAAGACUCAGGAGCGCCAUGUGGAAGAACUCAUCUCACAGAUAUUGGCAAAAGCUACCAAGCAGGACUUGAUUUAUUGUUUUGUUCAUUGUCUAGACUAAGAAAGUGAUGAAAUGUUAAUAAUGGAUAAUGAUUAAUGAAAUGGAUAAUGAAAAUGAAAAAUAAUUAAUGUAAAUUAAAUGUGAAAGUGUGUCCUACUUGUAGCUGUUAUACUGUGAAUAACUUUAAGAAGAAACCUUAGUAAAUAUUCCUCCAGUUUUCAAAAAUUAUUUUCUAGUUCGGCAAAGAAGUCAUUCACAUCACUGAUAAAUGAAUGAAGUUCUAACAGAUGUCUUUAUUGAUUCACUUUUAUUUUAUUUGUUAACAUAAAUGAAAAUACAGGUGAUGUUCAUGUCAGAACACUUUCAUCAAAUGCAACCACAGUUUGGCUAUGAAUAUAGAAGCCUGGCAAAAAUCAAUAAAAGCAGUCUGUGAGAAUCAAUUGAUUAUAAGGAAUUUCCAAUAAAGAAUAUUAUAUAUGUUGUUACUUGUAAAUAGCAUGAUAUACCUUCUUUAUAUCAGAAAAGUUUAUAAUAAAGUUAUGUGUGUAUGUA